rnacentral:rRNA from 1 species
AUUGAACGCUGGCGGCAGGCCUAACACAUGCAAGUCGAACGAGUGGCGGACGGGUUAGUAAUGUCUGGGAAACUGCCUGAUGGAGGGGGAUAACUACUGGAAACGGUAGCUAAUACCGCAUACCAUCAGAUGUGCCCAGACGGGAUUAGCUAUUGGGUGGGGUAUUGGCACAACUAGGCGACGAACCCUAGCUUGUCCGAGAGGAUGACCAGCCACACGUGAACUGAGACACGGUCCAGACUCCUACGGGAGGUAGCAGUGGGGAAUAUUGCACAAUGGGCGCAAGCCUGAUACAGCCAUGCCGCAUGUGUGAAGAAGGCCUUCGGGUUGUAAAGCACUUUCAGCGGGGAGGCGUGACUCGCAGAAGAAGCACCGGCUAACUCCGUGCCAGCAGCCGCGGUAAUUC